ACAACAAUGUGCAACAAGUGAACGUCUAUCUCAGAGGUAAGAGUUAAGAGGUCGAUCUGUUCCAGAUUUCCUAAUUAAAUCACAGACAGCCAAAGCUCCUAUGCAGGAUUAAGUUUGCUCCACUACAAAGAGACAGGGAUGCUGGGAAAGCCGGCUUUCUUCGCCCUGGUAUUAGGGCUGCACGGAUGUCUGGUUAUGUCAGCCCCUCGGGAUGAAGAUAGCUCAGAGGAGGUAUUUCUCUUGUGGCCCUCUGCAAAGGAUACUAGAGGAAUGGUCAAGGGCUUUGCUGAGAUGUACUACGAGGACCACGUUAAGCCCAUAACUGAUUCUUACACGCAAUGGGCCACUGAACAGGCCUACAAGGCAGCAUCCAGUGCCUGGGAAAGCAUCAGUCAAAGCUGGAGCCGUUACUGGUCCCAAUAGCAGCAUUUGCCCCAGCACAACAGACCUUUCAGGCCAUUUGUAAUUAUGAAGACACAGAGGCACAACAGCGCCACCUCACUGUUGUGUGGCUUAUUUGAGUACAGCACCAUCGUCAGAACCAGGCUAUACAAAUUGAAACAGAUGUGUAUAUCAAAGUUUAAACUGAGGUACUACGGACAACAAAACAGCUAGGAAACCUCUACCCCGCUCAAGUAUUUUAUAAGUACACACACCCACUACCAUACUAUUAUAUUUCCUCCUGUACAAUGUCUGUAUAACCAUCAAGGGCAUAUAUAGAAACAUCCAGUGAGCAGCAGUUAUGCGGACAAAAACACGUUGUUAAUGAGAGAUGUCAGAGGAGAAGGCCCAGACUGGUCAAAGCUGACAGGAAGGUGGCAGUAACACAAAUAACCACACAUUACAACAGUGGUAAGCAGAAGAGCAUCUCUGAACAUACAACACAUUAAACCUCUUUAGUGGAUAGGCUACAACAACAGAAGAUCAAUAAGUCUAAUAAAUACCUAAUAAAGUAUAUAAAUAAAUGUAAAUAAAUAAAUAUAUUCACAGAUAUUUGCUAGAUAGAAUAUCUAAAGAUUAAUAAAUGGGUCUGAUGUUAAGUCUGUGUUAUUAUCAAUAUAUCAGUGCUUGUGUCGUAAUUUGCUGCAUGAAUUAAACUGGGCACUAUGCACCACC